rnacentral:tRNA from 3 species
UGGUUCUUUAACUUAACCGGUAAAGUGUAUUCUUGAUAAGGAUAUGUUCAGUGUUCGAGUCACUGAAGAAUCAA